rnacentral:misc_RNA from 1 species
GUGAAUCAUCGAAUUUUUGAACGCAAAUUGCACUCUCUUCGGAGAGUAUGCCUGUUUGAGGGCCAGCCUAUAAAAAAUCGACAUCGUUGCUGUUUCGCGGUGGCGUUCGUCGGAAAUUGGGUCAUCUUAAAUCCUUUUUUUAUACGCGUCUUAAAAUUCUCUUUUAGUUCAUUAACGGUUUCUAGAUUUUUUUCUUUUACCGGUUUAGGU